rnacentral:lncRNA from 1 species
CCAGGUCAUUGGUCCUGUAGAAUUUUCCCACAGUUUGCAUUUUGUUGGUUGCAAUCCCCUGAUGCUAUUCUAACCCAUUCCUUUGUUUCAUGUAUUUCCUAUAAACUAGUAAUUAGGUCUAAAGACUUGAUGGGAUUCAGUUUUCUUUUUUUUUUUGGUGCUGGGGAUCCAACCCAGGUCCUUGUGCAUGAGACAUGAGAGGCCAGCCCUCUACCAACUGAGCUACAUCCCCAACCCUGGGAUUCAGUUUUGAUAUUUGGGGCAUCAGUACUCCAUAGGUGGUACCGUACUGUAUUUUUCCACCAGAAGCCACUUGUUGUUUGGCUGUGGUUUUUCUCUUUCAUGUUAACCAGUAGGGGCAGCAUGAAACAUCAUGAGAGAUAGUGAUUUCCUAUUUCUUUCAUCGUUUUCUUAUUUUUUGGAAGAAUUAUUCUCUCAGUAACUAUUUGAUAACUCAAAGACAAUACUCUUACAAGAAAGACAGCCCUAUUUUCACUUGAGGAGGACAGGGUGUUUAGAGACUAUAACCUUUGCAAGGAGUGCUUAUCGCUGUUUAACUGAUGAUUAUGUCUUUUCAGUGGAUGAACCUAGAAGUGCACAUUUUUUUAAAAUGUGGAGUUUAUCAUGAAUUUAUACUGAUAUUUCAAAUUCAAAUUUAGGUUUGCAAAAUUGCUUUUUAAUUUUCUAUUAUAUCUCUUUUUCUCUAAUAUUAUAAGGUUGUGUUCCAAGUGAUAGUAACAUAAAUCCCUUUUGCUUUGGGAAGUUUAGCCUAAAGCCUGCUUCUUUAGCUCUCCUGAAGAUUUUGUAAGUGUUUAAAAUCUUGGGAAAAAAAAUCCUUUCUCCAUAAACCAUUUGAAGUGGAUCUUUUCAUCUUCACCUGAAUCCUGACAGAGCAAACUGCAGGCAGGUGGGGAGGGGCUGUUCAGGUCUCUGUAGUACAACUGCUCACAGCUACACCAAAGGAUGUCAAGGGUUCUCCGCUGAAGGAAUCACAAAGGUAUUAAAAGGAGAACCACAUUGCUCAGUCUUUUCUAUCUUUGUACAAGUCCUAAUUCACUAAAAAGUAUGUUUCUAUUUUUCAAAAGCAUUCUUUCUCUCUCUCUCUCCUUAUUCUCCUGCCCUAAAUCAGAUUCUGGAGAACACAUUAGAUCCGGCCCAGAGCAAGUGAACAGAGUCUUCUUCUAGCUCUGGACAAGAACCCAGUCAUUUUAGCAAAGGCUGCCAGAGGUCAUCCCAUCACUGCUUCAGGGUGGAUAAUGAGGCGUCUUGGGGGUGAGUGCAUACGGUGUAAGUGUCAGAAAGCUGCAUCUGUUGCUUGCUCCGAGGGCCUGGAGGGUCAAGUCACAUGAGUACGAUAUUUUCAUAAUAUUCUUCUGCAUCUUCGUCAUCGGAGCCGACUUUUCCAUCUGAGUCAACUGGCAGCUGUGUCUUCACCUCAGAGUAGACUAUCAAGGCAUGCUGGGACAGAAAGAAGACAGCGGAGGAACUUGAAAGGGUGAGAAGGAAAGGGCUGGAGGUGGUGGUGACAGAGGGAAAUGAGGCUCACCUUGUCCUCUGGAGGCAUCCAGGGGGUGUUACCUGUGGAGGACAAGGGAACCAUAAGAAUUCACUUAGAGCCCAGUCUGCCAACGUAUUUCCUAGAUCGGGGGCGGGGGGGGUCACUGGGCCCUCUCCAUCAAUGUCGUGUUUUCCCCACCCCAACAUAUCUUUUGAUUUUCUAUUUUACCUUUUUCUUUCUUUCUUUUCUUAUUGGCUCAUAUCCUAUUAGUUAUGCAUAGCAUUAGGUGUUUUACCAUUUCUUUUUUUAAUUUACCAUUUCUCAACUAAGCCCUCUGCAAGUUCUUCUCAAGCUUCAUUGAUCUGUAAAACUCUCCCUCAUCACAUGAAGAAACUUCACUUCUUCUUCUACCAGAUGUUGAGAGAAUAUUUUUCUCCUUGUUUAAUUCGUUGUACUUUUAAUUUAGAGUACAUCCACCACACUGUCCUGGAUGGUUUGGCAAGUUCUCAUAAAACUCUCUAUAUGUGUUGCCCGGUGAGGAAAACUCUCACGUUAUCAUGUUCUAGUUCUUGAUUUUAUUGCUAUAUUUUUUUUAGAGGUGGAGUCACAGAGAAAGAAAGUUUAGCAGAUGUGAUUUCUUGGUUCACGAAUAUUGGAAUUUAAGAGUCUCAGGGGAAAAAAAGUAGAAUCGUUAAAGCACCAUAAUAAUUUUAUGGAGAACUAGAACAUGAAAAGGAGAUAUAUCUUGGGGCACCUGAAGUUUCUGUUUCACCAUGUUCCUACCCAUACACUUUUGGAAUUACAGACAUUGUUAGUGAAGUGAUAAAAAGUGUCCAUUCCUCCUGCAAAUGGACAGAGCUUUGCUUAUGAUCUCAGGGCCUUUAUGAAAACCUGAAGGAACAAGUGAAAAGGGUUUUCUACAGCUCAUUAAUACAUCAAGUGCCUGAAAUAUAACCAAUCCAUUAACAAAAAUGGUGUUUGGGCCAAUGUGUUAAGGAUACAGUGGAAAGAUGAUAGAGGAAAAACUGUAUAAGAUAGAUGCACUCAACCAACCCAAACAAAUGAUUAGUGGUUCUGAUUCUACUAUUCAGCGGGUCCUGGCCAAUGGCUGGCUCAGGGAGCAAAGAGACAAAGCAGAUGAUCAGGUGAUACAUUAUUGGUCAAGCAGGAAUCGGUUGUACAAGCAGCAAAUAUUAAAUAAAGACAGAAGACUUUGUCUUAGCUUUGUGUUUUACAGGCUUUGUGACCUUGGGAAAGGACUUAACCACUACUUCAUUUGCAAAACAGGCUCAGUGUUAGAUUAUGAAUGAAAUUCCCACAAGGCACAGAGAUACUAGAGGUUUACAUUCUCAGAUGAGAUGCCAUAUUUAGAUUUAUUAAAAAAUAAUAGUUUGUUUCUUUGACUCUAAGAGUCUGGGUUAAUCAAUCAAAUUAAGGAAAUAUGGAGAGAGAUUUAAAAAAAAAAGAUUUGUUGAACAGAUUUCUUUAGAAGGAGAGAUCGGUUUCUGUGCAAUGAGUUUCUACCCAGAAGUUUUAUUGGGAGUGUGUGCAUGCGUGUGUGCGUGCGUGUGUGUGUGUGUGUGUGUGUGUGUGUGUUUAGGGAAUGGGGAAAUGAUGCUUUAUAAGCCCCCAGCGUGGUGAAGGAGCCUUCAGAGAUUCAUCUUAGAAACUGAAAAGUGAUUUCCCUGAUUUGGAAAAUAAAUAGCAUAUACCAAAAAAAAAAACAACAACCAAAAAACCCCAAAGUGGACUACAGGUUACAACUGACCACAGUAAUGUCUAACAGCAGGUCUCCUCUCAUUUGAGGGCCUUGAAAUGGGAUCUGAAUGAGAUUCAAGGAAAUGAAGAAGGACUGCUCAUUCUGGCCAAAAGGUACUAAAAGGACUGGAUUUACCUUUCCAUUUUCAACCACCAGAAAACAAACAAACAGAUAAUGCAAAGUUUUUCAGGCAUUUGACAACAGGCAGUCCAGGACUGACCGGGAGCCCUAAAAGAAAGCCAGUAGACAGCGGAGCCUUGCAGUUGCACAGUCUUGCCACCUGGGGGCAGCUUCUACACCGCAGCACAGGUUGGAGAGUCCUAAUAGAGGCUGGUCUGCUCUCUCUGAUUUCAAGUGACAGAGACCAACAGUCCUGUUAAACUUAGUAGCUAGAAUUUCUAGGACAGAGUACUAGAGAGACAACAGCAAGGCAGAUCAAAAGCUCCAGAGAUCUCCAGACAGGUAUGUAGCCUCAAGUCUUUGGCUGAAUAUUAAUACCACAUAUGAGAGAGGAAACUAUCUUGGGUCAGGUAAGAACCAUCGGAAAGGAACGGGCAAAAUAACCCCAGAUGCUCGUGCAGAUCUCGUGAUAGAUGGGGCAACUGGUGUAGAAUCCUCAGAAAUGUUGCUUUACUAUUAGGGCUAGAUUAGCCUUCCUCUAAAGGUUGCUUGGGACCUGCCAUAAUGAAGCUUAAAAGCAAGCCUUGAGACCGCAUGAUCAAUGUGAUUCUGCAACCUGUGCACUCAGAAAAAUGAGAAAUUAUACCCCAUCUGAGUCAAAUGUAUGAUAUGUCAAGAUCAUUGUACUGUCAUGUGUAACUAAUUAAAACAAUUAAAAAAAAAAAGCAAGCCUUGAAAGGAUCCAGUUGGUACCAAGUAACUUAACUUCAUCCAGAACAAAAUUCCAAGUUCAAUAGUAAAUUAAGGAAUAUUAAAUGGUAAAAUUCACAUUUUCAGCAUCCUAUAAAAAAAUUACCUUCUAUCUAUCAUCAUCUAUGGAGGGGGGAGGGAGGGAGGAAGGGAGGGAGGGAGGAAGGGAGAGAGGGAGAGAGGGAGAGAGAGAGAGAGGGAGAGAAAGAGAGAGAGAGAGAGAGAGAGAGAGAGAGAGAGAGAGAGACUGACUCCUACUUACAAUCAUUUGACCUUACAAUUGUGCAAAAACUGUAGGAGAAACCAUACUUCAGAUUUAAAAUUUUUACCUUUUCCUGGGCUAGUGCUGGGUGGUAUGAUACUCUCUUGUCAGCACUGGGAAUUGAACCCAGAGCCUUAUGCAUGCUAGGCAAACACUCUUCCACUGAGCCAAGACAGUAUCACAGGAUGGUAAACAAUGGGUACUUUAUGGUGCACCAUAGAAUGAUUGCUAAACUUGAGGUUUGGUAGGGUAAUAUUAAAUAGACUUUCAACUUAAAAUAUUCUCUAUUUAUGACAGGCUUAUUGGGACAUAACUCCAUUGUAAAUUUGUAUCCAAUAUUUUAUAUAUAAAUGUUCUCAACAUAAUACCUAUCAUAGUAGUAUGUAUGUUGCAAAUAUUCAUUCAUUCAGACCUAUAGGCAACCUUAGUACACAAACCAUCAAGAUCACAAUAUUUAUCAGAAGGAUGCUUAAUUUUUGUUCUGAUCAUCAGCAAAGAUGAUGUAUUUUUAAAUUUUUUUUUCAGUUGUCCAUGGACCUUUGUUUUAUUUAUUCAUUUUUAUGUGGUGCUGAGAAUCGAACCCAGUACCUCACAGAUGCUAGGCAAGUGCUCUGCCACUGAGCCACAACCUCAUCUAUAGUAUGUAUUUUUUCAUGUCUAUCUUCCGUCUUUAGAAUCUAAGCUCCACACUGUGGGGAAUUGUUUGCUGAGUGACUUUCCACACUUAUAAUAGCACCUAGCACAUGGGAGAUACUCAAUAAAUAUUUGCUGAAUGAAUGAGUAUAGUUUGUAGCUAUAAUCGUUCCAAAACAUACCUUCUCCUUCUUCUCCCAGGUCAAUAGUCUGGAUCUCAGCAUAUACCAAAUCUCCUUCUUUGGGGUGCAUUGGAAAGAAAAGACGACAUUACCAGUCUGUCUCUGUCUGUUAUGUUCUGCAGAUGCCUCUUCCCAAGCAUUCCCUCCACUCUCUUUAGACACACAUGAAGUGAUUAUUCUUUGGGAAUAUCUGACUCCAGAGUACUGUAGGGAGAUGGGUGGCAUUUCCCAGGGGGCUCAAAGCGAUUUAUCUUUCCCUGGUGGAGUCUUAGGAGCAGUUUCUUAUAGGGGAAACCUCACCAUUGUCACAGGAGAUGUGUGGUUCCACCUGGGCAGAGCAGAUGUAAUGAAAGGACUGUCCCAGGCUGGGGGUGUGAGGACUCCUAUGAGACAGAAAUACAUGAAAACCCUUGGAGCAUUCCAACAUGCCUGAGGGUGAGAUGUUUAGGCAGAGGUGGUGGGAAAAGUGGGUUGGAGGGAAAUCAGCAGUCCGUAGGGAACUGGGAACCCUGAAGAGUUUAAUUGAAACUUCAGUGGGUCCAUAUUAAGUUGGAUUGUUGUUUUGAAAGAAACUGGGGAGCUUUGGUAUGGAAGGCUACCUUGGGACAAGACCAAAGUCUUUGACAUCACAGUAACAAUCAUUGUCUCAUCGACAGGAUGGAUUAAAAACUGGUCUUCUCCUCAGGAAGUAGUGGCCAAAUGUCUUCACAUUGUUAUGUUGGGAAAUUUAAGAAGGAAUUGACAUGAUACACGCUCCAGUUCCUGGGUACAACCUAAGACUGAGAUACUGACAGAAGAGGACCAUAUUUCCCAAACUGAAAUUAAGAACACCGUCUAAUUAAUAUAUUUGUAUGUCUUGGAGAAAAAUAAGAUUAAUAAAAGCAUAUACCUCCAGAAAAUCUAGAACAUUUAUAAAAAAUCUAGAAUCUAACCCUUGGACAUAUAUUUAAUAACGUAUGGUCUAACUCUGGAGCUAUUGGUACAGAAGUAUUUUGUACCCACCCAAGAAAAUCUAUAACCUUUGGUAUCAUCCUUUUAAAUGAAGGUGCCAAUUUCA